AUACGGAGGGUGCAAGCGUUGUCCGGAAUCACUGGGUGUAAAGGGUGUGUAGGCGGGAUAGCAAGUCAGAGGUGAAAUCCUGCAGCUCAACUGUAGAAUUGCCUCUGAUACUGUUAUUCUUGAGUAUCGGAGAGGUCGCUGGAAUUCGUGGUGUAGCGGUGAAAUGCGUAGAUAUCACGAGGAACACCAGAGGCGUAGGCGGGCGACUGGACGAUUACUGACGCUGAGGCACGAAAGCGUGGGGAGCAAACAGGAUUAGAUACCCUGGUAGUCCACGCUGUAAACGAUGGAUGCUCGGUGUUGUCCCGAUUUUGGGGCAGUGCCCAAGCUAACGCGUUAAGCAUCCCACCUGGGGAGUACGCUCGCAAGAGUGAA
rnacentral:rRNA from 1 species